rnacentral:rRNA from 1 species
UACCAGCACCCCGAGUGGUCGGGACGUUUUAUUGGGCCUAAAGCAUCCGUAGCCGGUUCUGCAAGUCCCCCGUUAAAUCCAGCUGCUCAACAGAUGGGCCGCGGAGGAUACUACAGAGCUAGGAGGCAGGAGAGGCAAGCGGUACUCAGUGGGUAGGGGUAAAAUCCGUUGAUCCAUUGAAGACCACCAGUGGCGAAGGCGGCUUGCCAGAAUGCGCUCGACGGUGAGGGAUGAAAGCUGGGGGAGCAAACCGG